rnacentral:rRNA from 1 species
UGGGGAAUAUUGCGCAAUGGGCGGAAGCCUGACGCAGCGACGCCGCGUGGGGGAUGACGGCCUUCGGGUUGUAAACCUCCUUCAGCAGGGACGAAGCCGUGAGGUGACGGUACCUGCAGAAGAAGCACCGGCCAACUACGUGCCAGCAGCCGCGGUAAUACGUAGGGUGCAAGCGUUGUCCGGAAUUAUUGGGCGUAAAGAGCUCGUAGGCGGUUCGUCGCGUCGGGCUGUGAAAACCCGGAGCUCAACUCCGGGCCUGC